rnacentral:rRNA from 1 species
UAAAAAAUUUGGCGGUAUUUUAGUCUAUUCAGAGGAACCUGUUCUAUAAUCGAUAUUCCACGAUGAACCUUACUUAAAUUUGUAUUCAGUUUAUAUACCGUCGUUAUUAGAAUAUUUUAUAAGAAUGUUAAUUUUCAUAAUUUUAAAAAAGAAAAUAUAUCAGAUCAAGGUGUAGCUAAUAUUUAAGUAGAAAUGGGUUACAAUAAAUUUAUUUAAACGGAUUUAAUUAUGAAAAAUUUUUUAAAGGUGGAUUUGAUAGUAAAAUUAUAAAGAUUAAUAAUUUGAUUUUAGCUCUAAAAUAUGUACACAUCGCCCGUCACUCUUAUUAUUAAGGUAAGAUAAGUCGUAACAUAGUAGAUGUACCGGAAGGUGUAUCUAGAAUGCAAUUUAAAGCUUAAUUAGUAAAGUAUUUCAUUUACAUUGAAAAGAUUUUUGUGCAAAUCAUUAUAAAUUGAUUAAAUUUUAUUUAUUAAUUUUUUUUUAAAAAAAAAUAAUUUAUUAAAAAUAAUUAUAAAAAUAUAUGUUUUAGUAUUUUUUAAAUAAAAAAUAAUUUUAAUUAUAGUUUAAUAGUAUUGUGAAAGAAGAUUGAAAUAAUUUGAAAAAUUAUUAUUGUAAAAGAAAAUU